rnacentral:lncRNA from 1 species
AUGCUGUUGUUUACCUUCAUCUUCAUCUCUCCCGGCCUCAGUUUCCUCUUCCAUAAAGAGGACCAGAGGGUGUCUGUCUCAUCUAUCCUGUUCCUUUUACAGAUGGGAAGUCUGGGGCCCAGCAUGGACGAGCGACUUGCUCAAGGCCACACAGCCAGCGCUGGGCGGAGGCGGCAUUGGAAGCCAGCUCCGGGGACGUCCCGUCCCGUCCCGUCCCGUGCGAGGGUUGGGUUCCGGCUACGUGCCAAGGCAGGGCUCCGCGCCCGGGCGGAUGACGAAGGCUGCCAGGGCUCCGGGACGGCGGCGGAGACAGGACAGGACGGGACAGGACGGCAUGUCCACGGCGCCCUGGGACAGCGGAAGCGGCGGCUGCUUUGGCUGCCCACGUCUCCUAGCAACGGGUCCCCAGCCGCCGCGCCCGAGCCUCUCGGAUCGCUCGGCCUCUGUGACGUCACCGUCUCCAUGCUCCUUUUUACCGAUGAGGAAACUGAGAUAAACAAGGUUGAGCAACUUGCCCAGGGCCACCCUGCGAGUCAGCGUCUUAGGCUGGAUUCGAACUCAGAAAGACGCCUUCCUGUACUCUAUCCCCUCAGCGUCAUUCCUCAGUGGGUUCGUAGGCAAAGGAGGGCAGCUCGCAUUUCCAAAGGAAGAACGGCCUGGACCGCCAUCACACCACCCCGAGGGUUCCUUUCAGACCCAGCACACUGGCAAAGGCCGCUGGUGGAGUCCCAGAGCUGCCGCCAUCUUGGAAAGCUGCUGAGCAAUGGGACCCCACGGAUCCCUAGAGAGCGAGACCUCAUGUAUGCCAAACUAUGGAGAACAGCACUUUUUGGGACAGGAAAACUGGUCACCAAAUAGAUGGCCAUCCGUUGGGGAAUGGCUGAGAACAGGAGGGGGGUGGAAGGCUUUGGAGAGAGGCCUGGGGAGACUUGGGAAAUGAGUGAGAGGGAAGUCUGCAACACCAGGGAAAUUCUCCCUGGCGGAUGCCGAGAAGGCUCACGGGAGGCACCCAAAGAAAGGCUCACACCAAAGACCGGCAUUUGGCAUUUCUAAAGAGCCAGGCUGGCCCCAGAGAAGCCAUGACACAAUGCAUCUCCUCUCUGCUCCCUGCCAGUUUCCUGGUGGCCUGGGGAAUGGAAGGCUCCACCAGCUCACCCUGGCUUCUGGGUCGAGCCAUCUUCUUUCUCCCUUGUCCAAGGGAUGGACAGCUGACAGAAUCGAGGAGGAGGAGGAGGAGGAGGAGGAGGAGGAGNGAGGCUCAGAGGUCAUGUGAUUUGCCUAAAGUCACAUGAUUAACUUAAGUGUUACAAUUGAGACCAGCACCCAGAAUUGAAAAUUCCUGUUCCAGAGUCUUUUCUAUUCUCAAAUACACAAAUGGUUAUAUAAUUCCAUUAAUGUAGAUAUUCCCCCACAAUGAGGGAAGCCAUAAUGGAGGCAAAUCCAUGUAUGCGUAUUCCAUAUGACUCAUUGAUAUUUUGUCAUAAGAAUCUACUACUGAUUGGGUCACAUGGUUAUUUUUAGGUUUAGCACUAUUGUUCUCUAUAAUUUUGUUUAAGGUGCCACCCAGAUCCAUCGUUCACAACUUGUACACUAUACCUUAGAGCCACCCAAUAAACUCAGAAUGACACUGGGGAAUAUUCCA